rnacentral:rRNA from 1 species
AUUGAACGCUGGCGGCAUGCCUUACACAUGCAAGUCGAACGGUAACAGGUCUUCGGAUGCUGACGAGUGGCGAUCGAGUGAGUAAUACAUCGGAACGUGCCCGAUCGUGGGGGAUAACGGAGCGAAAGCUUUGCUAAUACCGCAUACGAUCUACGGAUGAAAGCAGGGGACCGCAAGGCCUUGCGCGGACGGAGCGGCCG